AGCGAACGCUGGCGGCAGGCCUAACACAUGCAAGUCGAACGAACCUUUCGGGGUUAGUGGCGGACGGGUGAGUAACACGUGGGAACGUGCCUUUAGGUUCGGCAUAACUCAGGGAAACUUGUGCUAAUACCGAAUGUGCCCUUCGGGGGAAAGAUUAAUCGCCUUUAGAGCGGCCGGCGUCUGAUUAGCUAGUUGGUUGAGGUAAUGGCUCACCAAGGCGACGAUCAGUAGCUGGUCUGAGAGGAUGAUCAGACACAUUGGGACUGAGACACGGCCCAAACUCUUACGGGAGGCAGCAGUGGGGAAUCUUGCGCAAUGGGCGAAAGCCUGACGCAGCCAUGCCGCGUGAAUGAUGAAGGUCUUAGGAUUGUAAAAUUCUUUCACCGGGGACGAUAAUGACGGUACCCGGAGAAGAAGCCCCGGCUAACUUCGUG
rnacentral:rRNA from 1 species